GGGUUGUGAGGUUAAGCGACUAAGCGUACACGGUGGAUGCCCUGGCAGUCAGAGGCGAUGAAGGACGUGCUAAUCUGCGAUAAGCGUCGGUAAGGUGAUAUGAACCGUUAUAACCGGCGAUUUCCGAAUGGGGAAACCCAGUGUGUUUCGACACACUAUCAUUAACUGAAUCCAUAGGUUAAUGAGGCGAACCGGGGGAACUGAAACAUCUAAGUACCCCGAGGAAAAGAAAUCAACCGAGAUUCCCCCAGUAGCGGCGAGCGAACGGGGAGGAGCCCAGAGCCUGAAUCAGUGUGUGUGUUAGUGGAAGCGUCUGGAAAGGCGCGCGAUACAGGGUGACAGCCCCGUACACAAAAAUGCACAUAUUGUGAGCUCGAUGAGUAGGGCGGGACACGUGGUAUCCUGUCUGAAUAUGGGGGGACCAUCCUCCAAGGCUAAAUACUCCUGACUGACCGAUAGUGAACCAGUACCGUGAGGGAAAGGCGAAAAGAACCCCGGCGAGGGGAGUGAAAAAGAACCUGAAACCGUGUACGUACAAGCAGUGGGAGCCUCUUUUAUGGGGUGACUGCGUACCUUUUGUAUAAUGGGUCAGCGACUUAUAUUCUGUAGCAAGGUUAACCGAAUAGGGGAGCCGAAGGGAAACCGAGUCUUAACUGGGCGUUAAGUUGCAGGGUAUAGACCCGAAACCCGGUGAUCUAGCCAUGGGCAGGUUGAAGGUUGGGUAACACUAACUGGAGGACCGAACCGACUAAUGUUGAAAAAUUAGCGGAUGACUUGUGGCUGGGGGUGAAAGGCCAAUCAAACCGGGAGAUAGCUGGUUCUCCCCGAAAGCUAUUUAGGUAGCGCCUCGUGAACUCAUCUCCGGGGGUAGAGCACUGUUUCGGCAAGGGGGUCAUCCCGACUUACCAACCCGAUGCAAACUGCGAAUACCGGAGAAUGUUAUCACGGGAGACACACGGCGGGUGCUAACGUCCGUCGUGAAGAGGGAAACAACCCAGACCGCCAGCUAAGGUCCCAAAGUCAUGGUUAAGUGGGAAACGAUGUGGGAAGGCCCAGACAGCCAGGAUGUUGGCUUAGAAGCAGCCAUCAUUUAAAGAAAGCGUAAUAGCUCACUGGUCGAGUCGGCCUGCGCGGAAGAUGUAACGGGGCUAAACCAUGCACCGAAGCUGCGGCAGCGACACUAUGUGUUGUUGGGUAGGGGAGCGUUCUGUAAGCCUGUGAAGGUGUGCUGUGAGGCAUGCUGGAGGUAUCAGAAGUGCGAAUGCUGACAUAAGUAACGAUAAAGCGGGUGAAAAGCCCGCUCGCCGGAAGACCAAGGGUUCCUGUCCAACGUUAAUCGGGGCAGGGUGAGUCGACCCCUAAGGCGAGGCCGAAAGGCGUAGUCGAUGGGAAACAGGUUAAUAUUCCUGUACUUGGUGUUACUGCGAAGGGGGGACGGAGAAGGCUAUGUUGGCCGGGCGACGGUUGUCCCGGUUUAAGCGUGUAGGCUGGUUUUCCAGGCAAAUCCGGAAAAUCAAGGCUGAGGCGUGAUGACGAGGCACUACGGUGCUGAAGCAACAAAUGCCCUGCUUCCAGGAAAAGCCUCUAAGCAUCAGGUAACAUCAAAUCGUACCCCAAACCGACACAGGUGGUCAGGUAGAGAAUACCAAGGCGCUUGAGAGAACUCGGGUGAAGGAACUAGGCAAAAUGGUGCCGUAACUUCGGGAGAAGGCACGCUGAUAUGUAGGUGAAGUCCCUCGCGGAUGGAGCUGAAAUCAGUCGAAGAUACCAGCUGGCUGCAACUGUUUAUUAAAAACACAGCACUGUGCAAACACGAAAGUGGACGUAUACGGUGUGACGCCUGCCCGGUGCCGGAAGGUUAAUUGAUGGGGUCAGCGCAAGCGAAGCUCUUGAUCGAAGCCCCGGUAAACGGCGGCCGUAACUAUAACGGUCCUAAGGUAGCGAAAUUCCUUGUCGGGUAAGUUCCGACCUGCACGAAUGGCGUAAUGAUGGCCAGGCUGUCUCCACCCGAGACUCAGUGAAAUUGAACUCGCUGUGAAGAUGCAGUGUACCCGCGGCAAGACGGAAAGACCCCGUGAACCUUUACUAUAGCUUGACACUGAACAUUGAGCCUUGAUGUGUAGGAUAGGUGGGAGGCUUAGAAGUGUGGACGCCAGUCUGCAUGGAGCCGACCUUGAAAUACCACCCUUUAAUGUUUGAUGUUCUAACGUUGACCCGUGAUCCGGGUUGCGGACAGUGUCUGGUGGGUAGUUUGACUGGGGCGGUCUCCUCCUAAAGAGUAACGGAGGAGCACGAAGGUUGGCUAAUCCUGGUCGGACAUCAGGAGGUUAGUGCAAUGGCAUAAGCCAGCUUGACUGCGAGCGUGACGGCGCGAGCAGGUGCGAAAGCAGGUCAUAGUGAUCCGGUGGUUCUGAAUGGAAGGGCCAUCGCUCAACGGAUAAAAGGUACUCCGGGGAUAACAGGCUGAUACCGCCCAAGAGUUCAUAUCGACGGCGGUGUUUGGCACCUCGAUGUCGGCUCAUCACAUCCUGGGGCUGAAGUAGGUCCCAAGGGUAUGGCUGUUCGCCAUUUAAAGUGGUACGCGAGCUGGGUUUAGAACGUCGUGAGACAGUUCGGUCCCUAUCUGCCGUGGGCGCUGGAGAACUGAGGGGGGCUGCUCCUAGUACGAGAGGACCGGAGUGGACGCAUCACUGGUGUUCGGGUUGUCAUGCCAAUGGCACUGCCCGGUAGCUAAAUGCGGAAGAGAUAAGUGCUGAAAGCAUCUAAGCACGAAACUUGCCCCGAGAUGAGUUCUCCCUGACCCUUUAAGGGUCCUGAAGGAACGUUGAAGACGACGACGUUGAUAGGCCGGGUGUGUAAGCGCAGCGAUGCGUUGAGCUAACCGGUACUAAUGAACCGUGAGGCUUAACCUUACAACGCCGAAGCUGUU
rnacentral:rRNA from 1 species